UCCCAAAGUUCAACAGCUCAUUACUUACGAUCUAACCGUCUAAACAACUCCAAAUUUAACAUAGAGUACUGAUAUAUCUUUAGCAACUACCACACCAAAAUUCAACUGUAAAUUCGUCUUGGAUCUUGUGAUAUCUUGAAAACCCUAACUGUAGCUUCAAACCCUAGCUUUUUUACACCCGUGUACAACUUCCUUCAUAUCUCACAAAGUAAUUAUUCAAAUACUAUGAAACUUUGAUCUAAAGCUUUUUAACCUAAUUACACACACUUGUGGAAAUUUUGAGCCAAAAAUUCGUCCAGAAACUCAAGAUAUGGCUUCACCCAUAACUAGCAACAAAACGAUAUACUUACUGCCUUCAAAUUACAAGUGCUGUCUUCAACGCCUCAUAACUCCUUUACCCAAUCUUAGAAUUCACUAUACAGUAAGUAGAAUGUGUAGCCGAAAAAAUGCUCCCUCCAAAUCCAGUCGCCGAUCUUCCGUUGCUCUCCGUAUUCGUAUGU
rnacentral:lncRNA from 1 species